CUGAGAGGCAGGCUCUGGACUGGGGACACAGGGAUAGCUGAGCCCCAGCUGGGGGUGGAAGCUGAGACAGGGACAGUCACAGAGGAACAAGAUCAAGAUGCGCUUUAACUGAGAAGCCCCCAAGGCAGAGGCUGAGAAUCAGAAGACAUUUCAGCAGACAUCUACAAAUCUGAAGGACAAAACAUGGUUCAAGCAUCUGGGCACAGGCGAAAUGGGGUUUCGCCAUGUUCACCAGGCUGUUCUUGAACUCCUGACCUCAGGUGAUCCACCCGCCUCGGCCUCCCAAAAGGUUGGGAUUACAGAACAUACAUAUGAUAGUUGAAAAAGACACAUAUUCUGAUCAUGAAGAAAUAAACACAAGUUAAAUAUGACUAAGCAGAAAGAUGGAAGGACCAGGAACGGUGAUGCUAACUUGGAACCACGAUGCAGGCUCUAAACUCCUCUACAAUCAUCCUCCCUUGGCUGCCGCAGUUUGCUGGGGGUCCACUCCAGACCCUAUUCACUUGGUCCCUCCCCUACCUGGAGGUGUCACCAGUGGAAGCUGCAGAACAGCAAGGAUGGCUGCCAGCUCCUUCUUCUUUGAGCUCCAUCCCAGAGGGGCACUGAUGUGAUGCCAGCAGGAACACUCCUGUAUAAGAUAAGAUCUAAGGCACGUGAGAUGAUAUGCUUUCUGUUUGAGUUUCUCCUUUAUGUUACACAUACUGAUAAAAUUGUUGAUGCCAGUUGAUCUGAAGGUCCCAGCAAGGAGCCGACUCACAGAAGAAUGCAGUUUUCACAUCGUGAUGAUUUAAUCUUCCUUGACCUGACCAAUUGACAACCCCAAUUCUCCAGAACCUCACCCGCCACAAUCCCCUUAAAAACCCUGGCCCAGAACCCCUCAAGCAGACAGAUUUGAAGCUUGAGGAUUCCUUCAUCUCUUUGCCCAAUGGCAUUGUGAUUAUUAAACUCUUUUUCUGCUGCAAAUUA
rnacentral:lncRNA from 1 species